AUUGAACGCUGGCGGAAUGCUUUACACAUGCAAGUCGAACGGCAGCACGGGGGCAGCCCUGGUGGCGAGUGGCGAACGGGUGAGUAAUACAUCGGAACGUGUCCGGUCGUGGGGGAUAACGUAGCGAAAGUUACGCUAAUACCGCAUACGAUCUGAGGAUGAAAGCGGGGGACCUUCGGGCCUCGCGCGAUCGGAGCGGCCGAUGUCAGAUUAGGUAGUUGGUGGGGUAAAGGCCUACCAAGCCGACGAUCUGUAGCUGGUCUGAGAGGACGACCAGCCACACGGGGAAGAAGCCCGGCCCAGACCCCCGCGGGGAGGCACCGUGGGGAAUUUUGGAACAAGGGGCGCAGGCUGAAUCCAGCCAUCCGGCGGGAAGAACGAGGCCUUCCGGGUUGAAACUGUUUUUUGCGGGAAAGAAAAGGCCGGGGCCUAAUACCGGGGGCACAGGAGGUUCCGGAAAAAAAAGGCCCGGGCAAACUCGGAG
rnacentral:rRNA from 1 species